CGCGUGGGGGAGGAUGUCUGUGGAUUGUAAACCCCUUUUCUCAGGGAAGAAGAAUCGACGGUACCUGAGGAAUCAGCAUCGGCUAACUCCGUGCCAGCAGCCGCGGUAAGACGGAGGAUGCAAGCGUUAUCCGGAAUUAUUGGGCGUAAAGCGUCCGUAGGCGGUUCAUCAAGUCUGCUGUCAAAGGCUACAGCUCAACUGUGGAACGGCGGUGGAAACUGAUGAACUUGAGUAUGGUAGGGGUAGAGGGAAUUCCCAGUGUAGCGGUGAAAUGCGUAGAUAUUGGGAAGAACACCAGUGGCGAAGGCGCUCUACUGGGCCAUAACUGACGCUGAGGGACGAAAGC
rnacentral:rRNA from 1 species